rnacentral:tRNA from 1 species
GACCGGCUGGGCGAAGUAUUCAACGCUCCGUUGCUUGAGACGAUUGAUGAUCUGCGGAUCGAUACCGUGCCCGGUCAC